GCAUUAAUGGGGUAGUGGUAACCUGGGUCGUUGCCAUAUAAGAUUGAGAAUGGUACCUUAACUCGACCCGCCGGGGGUUCGAUUCCCUCUUAAUGCA